CAGCAUGAUCUAGCUUGCUAGAUUGAUGGCGAGUGGCGAACGGGUGAGUAAUACAUCGGAACGUGCCCUGUAGUGGGGGAUAACUAGUCGAAAGAUUAGCUAAUACCGCAUACGACCUGAGGGUGAAAGUGGGGGACCGCAAGGCCUCAUGCUAUAGGAGCGGCCGAUGUCUGAUUAGCUAGUUGGUGAGGUAAAGACUCACCAAGGCGACGAUCAGUAGCUGGUCUGAGAGGACGAUCAGCCACACUGGGACUGAGACACGGCCCAGACUCCUACGGGAGGCAGCAGUGGGGAAUUUUGGACAGUGGGGGCAACCCUGAUCCAGCAA
rnacentral:rRNA from 1 species